rnacentral:rRNA from 1 species
GGGGGAUACUGCACAAGGGGCGAAAGCCUGAUGGAGCAACGCCGCGUGGGUGAAGAAGGUCUUCGGAUCGUAAAACCCUGUUGUCAGAGAAGAAAGUGCAUGAGAGUAACUGUUCAUGUUGCGAUGGUAUCUGACCAGAAAGCCACGGCUAACUACGUGCCAGCAGCCGCGGUAAUACGUAGGUGGCAAGCGUUAUCCGGAUUUAUUGGGCGUAAAGGGAACGCAGGCGGUCUUUUAAGUCUGAUGUGAAAGCCUUCGGCUUAACCGGAGUAGUGCAUUGGAAACUGGGAGACUUGAGUGCAGAAGAGGAGAGUGGAACUCCAUGUGUAGCGGUGAAAUGCGUAGAUAUAUGGAAGAACACCAGUGGCGAAAGCGGCUCUCUGGUCUGUAACUGACGCUGAGGUUCGAAAGCGUGGGUAGCAAACAGG